CAGUCGCCGCGGUAAUACGAAGGGUGCAAGCGUUAAUCGGAAUUACUGGGCGUAAAGCGUGCGUAGGCGGUUUGUUAAGUCUGCUGUGAAAUCCCCGGGCUCAACCUGGGAAUGGCAGUGGAUACUGGCAAGCUAGAGUGUGUCAGAGGAUGGUGGAAUUCCCGGUGUAGCGGUGAAAUGCGUAGAGAUCGGAAGGAACAUCUGUGGCGAAGGCGACUAUCUGGGCCAACACUGACACUGAGGCACGAAAGCGUGGGGAGCAAACAGGAUUAGAUACCCCUGUAGUCCCUGUCUCUUAUAC
rnacentral:rRNA from 1 species